rnacentral:rRNA from 1 species
AAUCUUCCGCAAUGGACGAAAGUCUGACGGAGCAACGCCGCGUGAGUGAUGAAGGUUUNCGGAUCNUNAAACUCUGUUGUUAGGGNCGAACAAGUAUCGGAGUAACUGCCGGUACCUUGCCGGUACCUAACCAGAAAGCCACGGCUAACUACGUUCCAGCAGCCGCGGUAAUACGUAGGUGGCAAGCGUUGUCCGGAAUUAUUGGGCGUAAAGCGCGCGCAGGCGGUUCCUUAAGUCUGAUGUGAAAGCCCCCGGCUCAACCGGGGAGGGUCAUUGGAAACUGGGGAACUUGAGUGCAGAAGAGAAGAGCGGAAUUCCACGUGUAGCGGUGAAAUGCGUAGAGAUGUGGAGGAACACCAGUGGCGAAGGCGGCUCUUUGGUCUGUAACUGACGCUGAGGCGCGAAAGCGUGGGGAGCAAACAGG